AUUUUUUUAAAAAAAAAUUUAAUUGUAGUAAAAUGUACAUUUUAAGUGUAUAGCUCAGUAGUGUUAAGUAUAUCCAUGAUGUUGUAAAACAGACCUCCAGAACUUUCCAUACCCAUGAAACACCAGCUCCCCUUUUCCCUCUCCCCAGCCCCUGGCAACCACCAUUCUGCCUUCUGUUUCUGUGAGUUCGCCUACUCUACACACCUCAUGUACGUGGAAUCACUCAGUAUUGCCUUUGUAUUGAGGAGCAAGCAUUUUUAAGUCCUACUAUGUGUCCCUCACUGUGUGUGACUCGGAAAUAGGGAAGGAGAAGUUUAAAAUGGAUUAUUGUCACCCCCACCACCAUCACCAGCAAACCCAGGAAGAAGCCAGACCUUGGCUGUGGCCCUUCCUGUCACUCCAGCCCAUGGCGCCGGUGCCCUCACCCAAGCUUCUAUUCUGGCCCUCCCUCUCCUCCCUGCCCCCACCCAGUGCUGCCCGGACCAGCUGUCACAUUGGACUCUGGGACAAACUAAUUCACAUGAAACUGCUAACAGCUGACAGCGUAAUAAGUCACAUUGUGUUUCAACAUAAAGGACUGAAUCUCUAAAAGUGGAAUUUUAGAUGACAGCCAUCGUGUGGUAAAGGAGAGCCCGUCCGGAGCUGCCCUUCAGAUGCGUGCACAGAGCGGUGGGUUUAUCUCCAUCCGUCACCUUGAGCUGUGGCCUUCAGGUCUGCAGCACUUUGCCUCGUGGGCCAUCCUAGGAAGAAUUCCUCCAACAAAAUUGUGGUCAGCUGGCAGAGCACUUUACAGGGAUGCGACCUACUCUAUGCCAGAGUGGAGCUUCCGUGACCUGCCACCCACGCAGAGCUCUGAAGGGAGCUAGAGAAACCAGACAGGCUUAGGGGAGGCGUCUAUGACACAGGGCAAAGGACCCUGGACUGCCAGGCUCUUAGGACCGUUGAUGUAGGAACCUGCUUCCUGUCCUAGUUCAGGUUCCGGCAGAGCCUGAGACAGAGACAGGGGGCAUGUGGUUUAUCCAGGAGCGCCCUUCAGGGGGACCCUCCAGGCCAGUGAGGGAAGGAGGGGUCAAGGAUGGGUCUCAGGUGAAGCUGAGCUGUGACCUGAGGCGCAUUUCCGCAGGCUAAUCACCCUGUCCUUUGAGGCACCGAGGCUGGCCUCCGUGCCUCCUCACUGGUCGCCUCUGGCUGCAGCAGUGGGGCUAACCUCCCAGGCCACAGCAGCUUGGAACGAGGUCCCCCUGCCUGGUAAAAGGAUCUGGCUGGUUCUUUUGGAAGAACGUAAUGUCUGCAUGACUCAUGUAUGCAAACCACCCACACGCUAGAAAUCUGAAGUGGUUGCUCCUAGAAACAGAAAUAAACUACGGUCCAAUUAGGAAGCAUUUUCCCUGGCUAAGAGACAACGCCAGCAAAGAACUUUCCAGUGGGAGAACUGAGGUUGAGGUUUGAGGUAGCUAAUGAUUUACAUAAGGGCGAUGCAGAUAUUACCUGCUACGUGGUAAAAUAAGGACACAGCACUUGGUGAGAGUUAGAGAAAAAUAACGCAGUACACAAGUUUACUGCCUGUAAAACUCAACACCACAAAAGCCCUCUGAUAAGAAUCGGCACCAGGCAGGCAUUUAAACAUUGAGCAUCUUCUUCUGAGAUGUAAUUGCUACUCCGCCGUGCGCAUCUGUGUUUGCUGUACCCUCCGCGUGGAACAGGAUGCGAUUUCGCUGACUCGGCAGAUUGGUCCACCUGGCUUUUGAGCAGUUGGUCAUUUUUCAGUCUGGCGGUGGGUGCCUUCCCCCAGCCCCUGAGCACACAGACAGAACACGCGCUGACCAGUCUGCUGUGACAUCAGUGGGGCAGCUCAGGAGUCACUUGUUGACAAAGUGGGUAGCUCACAGUGAGGCGUGAAAGGACAGAACCACACUGGACCAGCUGGGAGGCCUUGGCACACCAAACAGAGCCCGCUGUGGGGAAGGCCUGAGGGGCUCCAUGGACACCCCUGGAAUCCCCAGAGCACUUUGGAAACCGCAGAGCCAGUACAGCCUCUUCUUGUGCACAUGAAGAGCCCCGGACCUGCAAAGGGAGCUGUGUUUCCAAGUCGUGCGGCAGGUAACUGAGAAACUAGGAUUCCCGGGGUGAAUUUGAAUGCAGAAGACUAGAUGAAGCUGAAACUAACCUUCCUUAGAAGUGGGUGAUCAGUCAUGGACCUCUCCACACGAAUCCAGGGAUGAUGGAAUUUCUCUUCAUGGUCCCGCCUCGGGCUAGCCGGGUUUCGCCACUCCCUGCACAGCGCAGGUCUCUGCCCGGGCCGCUCGACUGGAAGUCCUCUCCAAAAGGACACCAGUGACCCCCAGACGGCCUCUUCUGGCUCCCAAGCCUCCUUCGCAUUCUCUUUGAUGUCUCUGCAAUGUGAGUCACAUUUGAUUACUUGCUCCUUAAAACUCUCUCCUCCCUGGACUUAUAAAACCUGACGUUCCCGGCUCCUAGCCUGUCCCUCUGGUGCAGGGCUCACUGUGCCUUCUCACUGUCCUCCAAACCUAAGUCGUCUUUCUCUCGCUCUCUCCCGCUCUAGCUCUCCAUGGGAGAGGCCCCCAGGCUGAACCUGGCUCCUGGCUUCCAGAUAAACCCUAAUCUCUCCUCCUACCCAUGCUGGGUUUCCUCUCUGACAUCCUGGCUUUUAAAUAUGCAAUGAGCACUUACUCCUCGCCAGCCGUGGGGGUGCAACAGUGGACAGAAAUCCCUGUCUGCACAGAGCUGACACUCUAAGAGGACUGUAAAUAAGUAAAAUACAUAGUGUGUUAGAGAGUCAUGUUCAUGGUGGAGGGAAAUGUAGCGAGAUAAGGAGAACGGGGAGGAGAGGGGAGGGCUGGUUGGGUGGCCUCAGGAGGAAAGGGACUUUGGGGCAAAGACUAGAAGGGGACAAGAGCAGAACCAUGCAAGCAUCUGAGGAAGAGCGUCUAAGCCGAGGGACUGGUGCAAAGACACUGUGGCUGAGUGUGCCCAGUGUUUAAAGCUCACCAGACUCCACUGUGGCUGGAGUCCAGUGAGCAAGAAGGAGGAAAGAAGGAAAGGCGAUCAGGAGGUGGUGGGGAGCCUGAAUGUGGCAGGCCAGCUAGGCCAGCAUGAGGGCCUUGGUCACCCAGGCUGGGAAUGCAGGGCUGGUCUCUCCUGUGCUUCUCCAUUCAUUCGGUGUGCAGGGCUGAGCUGCUCUGUUUCCUAAUUCCAUUCCCCACUCUCCAUUUUAUCUAAUCCCCCUGCCCCCCCCCCGACAUUGAUAGGUUACUGUCCCUAAAGCAGAGCAGUGGUCAUGUCCUCCCUUUUC